rnacentral:rRNA from 1 species
UACGUAGGGUGCGAGCGUUAAUCGGAAUUACUGGGCGUAAAGCGCACGUAGGCGGCUUUGUAAGUUAGAGGUGAAAGCCUGGAGCUCAACUCCAGAACUGCCUUUAAGACUGCAUCGCUUGAAUCCAGGAGAGGUGAGUGGAAUUCCAUGUGUAGCGGUGAAAUGCGCAGAGAUAUGGAGGAACACCAGUGGCGAAGGCGGCUCACUGGACUGGUAUUGACGCUGAGGUGCGAAAGCGUGGGGAGCAAACAGG